rnacentral:rRNA from 1 species
GACGAACGCUGGCGGCGUGCUUAACACAUGCAAGUCGAACGGAAAGGCCCUGCUUUUGUGGGGUGCUCGAGUGGCGAACGGGUGAGUAACACGUGAGUAACCUGCCCUUGACUUUGGGAUAACUUCAGGAAACUGGGGCUAAUACCGGAUAGGAGCUCCUGCUGCAUGGUGGGGGUUGGAAAGUUUCGGCGGUUGGGGAUGGACUCGCGGCUUAUCAGCUUGUUGGUGGGGUAGUGGCUUACCAAGGCUUUGACGGGUAGCCGGCCUGAGAGGGUGACCGGCCACAAUGGGACUGAGAUACGGACCAGACUCCUACGGGAGGCAGCAGUGGGGAAUAUUGCAGAAUGGGCGGAAGCCUGAUGCAGCAACGCCGCGUGCGGGAUGACGGCCUUCGGGUUGUAAACCGCUUUCGCCUGUGACGAAGCGUGAGUGACGGUAAUGGGUAAAGAAGCACCGGCUAACUACGUG